CCCUUAGAUGUCCUGGGCCGCACGCGCGCUACACUGAUGCAUUCAACGAGUAAUUAUUCCUUGGCCGAGAGGCCUGGGUAAUCUUUUAAACGUGCAUCGUGAUAGGGAUAGAUUAUUGCAAUUAUUAAUCUUGAACGAGGAAUUCCUAGUAAACGCAGAUCAUCAAUCUGCAUUGAUUACGUCCCUGCCCUUUGUACACACCGCCCGUCGCACCUACCGAUUGAAUGGUCCGGUGAAGCCUCGGGAUUGUGGUUCUUGCCGCUUUAUUGUGGCGUGACCGCGAGAACUUGUCUAAACCUUAUCAUCUAGAGGAAGGUGAAGUCGUAACA
rnacentral:rRNA from 1 species